rnacentral:RNase_MRP_RNA from 2 species
CCCUCGUCCAAAGAAUCGCAGUCGAAGCUCACGCACGGAGACGUCCUUUCAGGGUGCUCUCGCUCCACACAAAGCUUUGGGAGAAAGUCCCCGGACAACCCCGAGUAGGGGAGUCCGCGUCAACGCGCCGCCAUAGCAGCUGCGCCGUCUCUUAGCCGUUCCCGGAUCUCCUGCACGCCCUGCUCCGAUUGCACCCGGCUGCUCCCUCUCUGUACCACCCGAGCCCCAGGCUGCUCACCACGGAUGAAGAUACGAGUCCGAGUAGCGCAAGGCUCGGGCUGUUGCGGGUUGGGUUGAAGCUGGGGAGUUGCUGGGAGACCGUGCAGGCAUCCGCGGCCGCUGGCUUGCCAGUAGCGGCGUCGAGGUUCAUUCGUCGAGAAGAUAGUCAUGCGAUUGCCUUCCACGUUCGUUGUGGACCGGAGGUAACUCGAUGGGGCUUAUUCUUGGUGCGAGG